GUGCUCUCUCUCUUCUAGGAGAAACAAAAGGUUCUUGAGGGUAUGAUUUACAUAUCGUCGAUGACCUCAUUUCGGGGGCUUCCAUCAUUAGCCUUAAAAGGGGGAAGUAUGUAUGACUAGGUCAGCUUGUAACAUUGCGGAAUGACUGGGACAUUGGGCUCUACUUUGGAAACUAAAGCUUAGCUGUAUUGACGCAGUCUAAUGUGAUCCCAGGUUCUGGUUCUGGAAUAACACGUUGCUUGCUCAUCGCGAUCUUUCCGCAAUGAAAACGAAGGCCCCGUUUUGCCUCGUCGCCGUCGUCGUCGAUUCCCGCCGUGUCGUUGAAGCUGUAGGUUGAUUCCAUCCCAUCGAAGAAGAAAAAACGCGACUUUACUCUGGUACACCACACAAGCCCACCACGCCCCACACCAUCAUCACACUAACCAACACACACACACACACCUUUGAACAACUCUUUCUCGGCACGUUGGGUUGUCCACAGGUAUCGCGUAUCGGCCGCUCCAAAGGUAUCUCUCGGGCCUGUUCUUUCUUGCUUUCUUCCUUUCUCCUUCUCACGCCGCUGCUGACUUGACUUGGAGAGCGACUGCGGAGUUGUAGCGUUAUAUUUACAGACUACGAAGACCGUGGAAUCGCUGCUGCUGCUGAUGAUGGUCAUACCACUUCUUCGCCAUUUUUCGACAAACAAAAAAAAAAUACUAUUCAAACAACACACUAAUCACAACUGCCCACCCACACCUCACAUGAUCUAGAACUGCUGCACGGAAUGCACUUGUGCAAACGACGAAGAUCUGCUGAACAUCGCGGCGUAGCUGCCUUCCCCCUUGAUAUCGGCGACACGCGAAGGAAUUUAAACGCGGACGAGGGUGUCUACACGGUACCGACGACCAACACAAAA